rnacentral:lncRNA from 1 species
GAUGUUUGGCAAAAUACAUCAUUGGCAAACAUCGGGAGAACUGGUAAUGACAAAGACUUGUUCAAAAAAAAUUCUGUUGUUGCUUUCUCUAGCGCAUCAGCUACUCUGUUCUGCUCCCGGUAGAUGUGCCUCACUACCACGCUGCCCAUCCUUUGUAUGAUUGAUCUGCAUUCACAAGUUAGAGUGAUAAAAAACAGAUUUUCAUUUAAGAGCAUAUUUAUUGUUUCUAUUGAAUCAGUGUCUAUUUUCAGUGGAACUAGAUUAUUUUGCUCUGCUAGUUGUAGUCCCGGAAUAAGGGCCAGAACUUCUGCCCUUGCAUUUAUUGUUUGGGGUAUGUUGUCCAUGUAUCUCAAUAUCCAGUCUCUAUUGUGAUUUCUGAAUACUCCCCCUUAUCCGCCCAUUCCUGAUUUCCCCUUCGCUGCUCCAUCUGUAUUCAGUUUGAAAGAGCCCGAGAUUCCCAUUUUAG